GAUGAACGCUGGCGGCGUGCCUAAUACAUGCAAGUCGAGCGAACGGACGAGAAGCUUGCUUCUCUGAUGUUAGCGGCGGACGGGUGAGUAACACGUGGAUAACCUACCUAUAAGACUGGGAUAACUUCGGGAAACCGGAGCUAAUACCGGAUAAUAUUUUGAACCGCAUGGUUCAAAAGUGAAAGACGGUCUUGCUGUCACUUAUAGAUGGAUCCGCGCUGCAUUAGCUAGUUGGUAAGGUAACGGCUUACCAAGGCAACGAUGCAUAGCCGACCUGAGAGGGUGAUCGGCCACACUGGAACUGAGACACGGUCAAGACUACUACGGGAGGCAGCAGUAGGGAAUCUUACGCAAUGGGCGAAAGCCUGACGGAGCAACGCCGAGUGAGUGAUGAAGGUCUUCGGAUCGUAAAACUCUGUUAUUAGGGAAGAACAUAUGUGUAAGUAACUGUGCACAUCUUGACGGUACCUAAUCAGAAAGCCACGGCUAACUACGUG
rnacentral:rRNA from 1 species